AUGGAUAAUGUGGAAAUCGUGUUGAACACACGUGUUACUCUGCAACUUUUCUAUUCCCUUGUUGUGUACACUCUCCGAUUAAGAAUGCCAACAACAACAUUAAAUUUCCUAUUUUCAGUAACUAAUAGGGGCCAAGCUAUUUUCCUUUGCAUGUCACAUCGAGUAUUUAAAAAUGAAAGUAUUCACAAAUUAUUGGGCUUUGCUCGUUUAUGGAUAGAAGCAGUAGAUGUUGGGUUCGCCCGCCCUCGAGAACAGCAUGGUUACGUUUUUUGUGCAUUUUACUACAUUGUUCUAAGUAAGAUGUUGCAUAGAGCAACAAAAAACACCAUGAAUCACCCAGAAAAAAAACAUGUAUCUAAGCAAGUAAAACAUGAAAGUAUAAGGACUGGCGGCCCAAUUGAUGUAAUUACCUGUACAGAAGCCAUUGGAGAUUAUCAAUGGAACAAUUCCCAAAUAAGUAAAAUGGUGAGAACCAGUCUCCAAUAUCAGACCGGAUCAGUUAACCACAGCCAGUAUGACAACCCCUGUACAAAAAUGGGAUUGGGACGAUGUUAG
rnacentral:rRNA from 1 species